UUUCAAUUCCUUACCAUGUCGUUAUUCCUUGUUUUUUAUUGGGUUAUGAACUAAAACCUUGUUUUGGGCCAGGGGUAUUUCGUUGGCCCAUUUCCACAUUCCUUAGGCCCAGUCCAUUAUUUUUUAAAUUUAAUUUAAAUUAUUUAAUUAUGUUAUUUCUUAGCUUCUUCUUCACGCGUAACCUUCUUUUAACGUAAUUUUCUUACUUGGCUAAACUUCCAAGUUUCUCUUGAUAGAUACUGGGCGGGCAGUGAACGCUGGUAUACUAAACAAUAUCCAGAUGUUUCUACAUUCGGUUAGGCUUUUGGAUUUUCCAAGUUUAGGUUUGAUUUUCUUGGAUUGCGUCGAAUUGGGCUUUUUGAUGAGCAGAGUAACAACAUCUACAUUUUUCUGAAUUCGUUUGGGGUUUUAUUUUUUUUUUUCUUUCCAAUUUUAGGUUUGAUUUUCUUAGAAUGUGCAUCGAAUUGAAACAAUCCGAAGUCGAGUUCGUACUCUCCAUUCGUCGGUCUAGACUUCGAUUUCCCUCCCUUCUGUUCAGAAAAUUGUCUUCGGAAAUCAAAUUAGGUUUUGGUUUUUCCUUCUCUGUUUGCAAAAUCAUCCUGUUCUUCUGAGGUGGGUUCGAUAUUUAUUUUUCAAUAAUCGUCUUGGAAUAUUGUCCUGUUUUCUUCGGUUUUCGCUUUUCCUUCUCUUUCAGGUGGCUUCGGUUUUUAUUUUUCAAUCAUAAUUUAUGGAAAUUUAUACGUUGAGGUCAUGCAUUAGAUAGAAUUAACAGAAGUAUAGUUGUGUAGAAGCCAUUUUCUUGAUUUGAUUUUAUGGAUGACUGGUUGCUCUUUCUUCCAAAAUUAUGGAUCUGCGAGUACGGUUCAACUGUUCAUCGUUCUUGACAAGAGUUAUGUAGUUGUCCUGAAAUAAUGGUUGCCUCGAUAGGCUUUCAAAUAAUGGUUGUCUUGGAAUGAUAAUCGUUGCUAAAUUUCGAUUGCCAUGGUACAAUAAUAGUCUUGACAUAACUGCUUGUGUUAUGUAGUUGUCCCGAGAUAAUGGUUGCCUUGAUAUGCUAUUUUGAAUUUAAUUGUCUGGAAAUGAAAAUUGUUGUGAACUAUUGGUGGUUGCAGACAAUAAUUGUCGAGACAUAAUGAUAAUCAUUUGAAAUAGUUGCCUUUUUUAGAAUGAUAAUCAUUUGAAAUAUCGGUUGCCUUAUUAUUGUCCAGACAUAAUGGUUGCCUUCAUAGGCUUCCAGAUAACUCGAAAUAUUAGUUGUCUUAGAAUGACGAUGGUUGCAAAAUUUUGAUUGACUUGGUUCAAUAAUAGUCCCAACAUAACGGUUCUCUCUAAGGUUGAAUCUUAUAACUUGGCCUAGAGUUAGAGUGGUUGUUGAGUGAACCAGCCAGCCUAUUUACCUUGUGUUUGAGUUAAAGAAUAAAUAGGAAAAAGGCACGCAUGGACAACAUGUGUGACUGAUAAAGUUGGUUUUUGCAUGAGCUAUCGAUUGAGAACCUUGCGUGAGGUCUGAUGAAGCUGCAAAGUCGGGAAUAAAAAAUUAUAACGAAGUUUGAAUUUCUCUUAGGACUUGUUGGGAUCAUUUCAAGAUUAUUAUCAAGAAUGGAAGGAAUAUUGUAAACUGGUAUGAUUUUAUAUUUUAUUCCUAGACUUCUCCUGUGAUACCCUAAUUUAAACAUUUCGGAUUUCUUGUGGUGGUGAAUGUAUCCCAAUGAUUAUUGUUAUUUUAUGUAAUUUUUUACUUGUACUUGUAGGAAUUAAGUGUAAGUUUAAUGAAUAAUUCUAUAUGCAGUUUUGGAUGUUAAAUAGACUUGACUCUUUCCCUUUCAUACGAGUGGGGGCCUCCCAGUUCUUAAAUCUGUUAGAAACAUACUUUAUAUGUCUUGAUAGAUUAUGGUUGCUUGGAAUAUUGGUUCGUUUUGGUACAAUAAUUGUCCAGACAUAAUGGAUGCGAAAUGUCGGACAUAAUGGAUGCGAAAUGUCGGUUGCUUUAGUACAAUAGUUGUACAUGUCUUUGAUAGAAUCCCAAUUAUUUGUUAUAAUAUAAAUUGGACACGGGCAGUGUGCAUCAAUUCUCCGACUGUUUUUGGGUUCUUGAGUUGCAAAUGUUUUUUCAAUUGUCUCUUUCCCUUUCUUACAAGUAGGGAGGGGCCUCCCAGUUUUUGAUCUCUCAGGAACAUGCUUAAGCAGGUGCGUAUAGAAAACCAUUUGACUUUGGUAGGAGGCUGGUGCUUUGAUAUUCAAAACCCAUUGGAUGUUUUUAAUUAAAAGAUUAGGUUCGUUCUGUUUAUUAUAUUUGCUCCAUGUGAGGCUCCUAUCUUUUCAGGUAUUUUUUCCUUUGCCAUGUUAUUGCUUCGACCAAUACCGAUACGAAGAGGGUUAUUUCUAUAGGACGACUUGCAGGUUUGUUCAGUAGCUCUUUUCUUUCAUGAGGGAAAGCUAUUUGAAGAAUCUUAGGAUUCAAGAGAGUGGGCGUAAAGGAAUUUUUUAAGCUCUUAGAUGUUUUAAGAAUACUGUAAUAUGUCAACUCUCCAUCUUUUCUUGUGUUCAGUUGAUUUUGAUUAAUUUGAUUCAUUUAGUAAGCUGGUUAAUCAACAUGUCCGACAACUAAAUUUGGGGUUCUAUUUGUCCAGGUGUUCCUGUCUCUACCUUGUAGCAGAAGGGGAAAUAGUAGCUUGGAUUUUUUUUUUUUUAAAUGCUCUUUUUAACAUGAUUUUUCUUUUACGGUUCGAUUAGUCAAGUUAGCGAAGGAGCUGGAAAUGUUCGAUGAAUACAAGUUUGAUCUCAAAUAGUUUGAACGUUCUAGAGUUUGAAGAUUAGCGGGAGAUGAUCUUCAACUUUCUAGUUUCAAAAUAAUGGUGGCUUGAAAGAUUGGAGUCUUAUGACUUGGCUGAGUGAACAUGCACGCAUGGAAAACGUGUAUGGCCAAAAAAGUUUGGUUUCAAAAUCAUGAUGCCACUUGAAAACUACGAUCGUGAUAGUUUCUCUAGGUAUUCUAGUUGGCUUGAAAUAUUGGUUUUCUUCGUUUAGACACAAUGAUUGUCAUUAUAGAAUCCAAAAUAAUGGUUGUC